CCCCAGACUCCUACGGGAGGCAGCAGUGAGGAAUAUUGGUCAAUGGGCGGGAGCCUGAACCAGCCAAGUCGCGUGAGGGAAGACGGUCCUACGGAUUGUAAACCUCUUUUGCCGGGGAGCAACGGGGUCCUUGCGAGGGCCCAAUGAGAGUACCCGGAGAAAAAGCAUCGGCUAACUCCGUGCCAGCAGCCGCGGUAAUACGGAGGAUGCGAGCGUUAUCCGGAUUUAUUGGGUUUAAAGGGUGCGCAGGCGGAUUUUUAAGUCAGCGGUCAAAUCGUGGGGCUCAACCCCAUCCAGCCGUUGAAACUGGGGAUCUAGAGUGUGCGAGAGGUAUGCGGAAUGCGUGGUGUAGCGGUGAAAUGCAUAGAUAUUGCGCAGAACUCCGAUUGCGAAGGCAGCAUACCGGCGGCGAUCUGACGCUGAGGCACGAAAGCGUGGGUAUCGAACAGGAUUAGAUACCCUAGUAC
rnacentral:rRNA from 1 species